rnacentral:rRNA from 1 species
AUACGGAGGGUGCAAGCGUUAUCCGGAAUCAUUGGGUUUAAAGGGUCCGCAGGCGGAUUAAUAAGUCAGUGGCGAAAUCCUCUCGCUCAACGAGAGAACUGCCAUUGAAACUGUUAGUCUUGAAUUCGGUCGAAGUAGGCGGAAUGUGUCAUGUAGCGGUGAAAUGCAUAGAUAUGACACAGAACACCGAUAGCGAAGGCAGCUUACUAGACCUGGAUUGACGCUCAUGGACGAAAGCGUGGGGAGCGAACAGGAUUAGAAACCCCAGUAGUCC